rnacentral:rRNA from 1 species
UACGUAGGGGGCUAGCGUUGUCCGGAAUCAUUGGGCGUAAAGCGCGUGUAGGCGGUUCGGUAAGUCCGCUGUGAAAGUCGGGGGCUCAACCCUGGGACGCCGGUGGAUACUGUCGGGCUAGAGUCCGGAAGAGGCGAGUGGAAUUCCUGGUGUAGCGGUGAAAUGCGUAGAUAUCAGGAGGAACACCGGUGGCGAAGGCGGCCCUCUGGACGGUGACUGACGCUGAGACGCGAAAGCGUGGGGAGCAAACAGG